UACAGAGGGUGCGAGCGUUGUCCGGAAUCACUGGGCGUAAAGGGCGCGUAGGUGGCUUGCGAAGCGUGCGGUGAAAGCCCGGAGCUCAACUCCGGGUCGGCCGUGCGAACUGGCGGGCUUGAGCACGGUAGAGGCUAAUGGAAUUCCGGGUGUAGCGGUGGAAUGCGUAGAGAUCCGGAAGAACACCGGUGGCGAAGGCGGUUAGCUGGGCCGGUGCUGACACUGAGGCGCGACAGCGUGGGGAGCAAACAGG
rnacentral:rRNA from 1 species